GGCGCUAUAGCCAAGUGGUUACGGCGACAGAUUCGAAUAAAGUGAAAUAUCUGUUCCUCUUUGAGGGCGCAGGUUCAAAUCCUGCUGGCGUCG
rnacentral:tRNA from 1 species